rnacentral:rRNA from 2 species
UUCCGGUUGAUCCUGCCGGACCUGACUGCUAUCGGAUUGAUACUAAGCCAUGCGAGUCAUUGUAGCAAUACAAGGCAUACGGCUCAGUAACGCGUAGUCAACCUACCCUAUGGACGGAAAUAACCUCGGGAAACUGAGAAUAAUAUCCGAUAGAACAUUAUGCCUGGAAUGGUUUAUGUUCCAAAUGAUUUAUCGCCGUAGGAUGGGACUGCGGCCUAUCAGUUUGUUGGUGAGGUAAUGGCCCACCAAGACUAUUACAGGUACGGGCUCUGAGAGGAGUAGCCCGGAGAUGGGUACUGAGACACGGACCCAGGCCCUAUGGGGCGCAGCAGGCGAGAAAACUUUGCAAUGUGCGAAGGCACGACAAGGUUAAUCCGAGUGAUUUCUGCUAAAGAAAUCUUUUGUUAGUCCUAGAAACACUAACGAAUAAGGGGUGGGCAAGUUCUGGUGUCAGCCGCCGCGGUAAAACCAGCACCUCAAGUGGUCAGGAUGAUUAUUGGGCCUAAAGCAUCCGUAGCCGGCUCUGUAAGUCCUCGGUUAAAUCUGUACGCUUAACGUACAGGCUGCCGGGAAUACUGCAUAGCUAGGGAGUGGGAGAGGUAGACGGUACUCGGUAGGAAGGGGUAAAAUCCUUUGAUCUAUUGAUGACCACCUGUGGCGAAGGCGGUCUACCAGAACACGUCCGACGGUGAGGGAUGAAAGCUGGGGGAGCAAACCGGAUUAGAUACCCGGGUAGUCCCAGCUGUAAACUAUGCAAACYCAGUGAUGCAUUGGCUUGUGGCCAAUGCAGUGCUGCAGGGAAGCCGUUAAGUUUGCCGCCUGGGGAAGUACGUACGCAAGUAUGAAACUUAAAGGAAUUGGCGGGGGAGCACCACAARGGGUGAAGCCUGCGGUUCAAUUGGAGUCAACGCCGG